AGUUUGUUUGGAAAAUUUUGCACAACCCAACUCCCGUUUGAGGAAGUUGGCAUAUAGAAGCUCGUUCCAUGUAUCAGGGACACCGGGGAGGCACCAGUGGCUGCAGUCUUGCCGGUGGAGAGGAGCUGGUCCAACCUUGGGACCUAAGUAAUACAAAGAUGAGUGACCGUCUCUUCUCUGAAAUGUCAUCCCUGUUACAUUCAAUAAAUCCAAAUUCCAUGUUUUUGAUUUGUUCUGUUUCUCAGACAGCACAUUGAUCACAGUGUUAUAUUCAAAUGAUGUUUUCACCGACUCUUGGGAUGAUCCUAUGUUAGGUAGCUUCUCAAGAUGACAGUUGCCGCCAGUCUUCCAGUCUCCACCUCUAAAGUGAACAGGAGCAUAAGUUCGAAAUACGACAUGUGUCUUGGUCAUAU
rnacentral:misc_RNA from 1 species